CAGCUCACUUGGUAGAGCAUGAGACUCUUAAUCCCGGGGUUGUGGGUUUGAGCCCCACAUCGG
rnacentral:tRNA from 1 species